AUUUAAAUAGUUUAAGUGAAAACGUUGAUUUGUGGUGUCAAAGAUAAAUAAUUUUUUUUAAAUG
rnacentral:tRNA from 1 species